rnacentral:rRNA from 1 species
AUUCCAGCUCCAAUAGCGUAUAUUAAUGUUGUUGCAGUUAAAAAGCUCGUAGUUGGAUUUCUGAUGGGAUCGACCCGGUCGGCUCCGAAAGGGGUCGCACUGGUGGUCUGUCCGGUCAUCCUCGAGGGGAGGCUUUCUGGCAUUCAUUUGUUGGGGAGUCGACGCUCGUCGUUUACUGUGAACAAAUUAGAGUGUUCAAAGCAGGCUUAGGCCGUUGAAUACAUUAGCAUGGAAUAAUAAGAUAGGACUUUGAGUCUAUUUUGUUGGUUUGCGAGUCAGAGUAAUGAUUAAUAGGGACAGUUGGGGGUAUUCGUAUUUCAUUGUCAGAGGUGAAAUUCUUGGAUUUCUGAAAGACGAACUACUGCGAAAGCAUUUACCAAGGAUGUUUUCAUUA